AGGGUUUGAUCCUGGCUCAGAUUGAACGCUGGCGGUAGGCUUAACACAUGCAAGUCGUGCGAGAAAGUACCUUCGGGUGCGAGUAGAGCGGCGGACGGGUGAGUAACGCGUAGGAAUCUACCUAGUAGAAGGGGAUAGCCCGGGGAAACUCGGAUUAAUACCGUAUACCUCCUUAGGGAGAAAGAGGGCUUAGCUUUGAUGCUCUCGCUAUUAGAUGAGCCUGCGUAAGAUUAGCUUGUUGGUGAGGUAAUGGCUCACCAAGGCGACGAUCUUUAGCUGGUCUGAGAGGACGAUCAGCCACAUUGGGACUGAGACACGGCCCAGACUCCUACGGGAGGCAGCAGUGGGGAAUAUUGGACAAUGGGCGCAAGCCUGAUCCAGCCAUACCGCGUGUGUGAAGAAGGCUUUCGGGUUGUAAAGCACUUUAAGUAAGGAGGAAAAGAUUGUAGUUAAUACCUGCAAUCCGUGACGUUACUUACAGAAUAAGGACCGGCUAAUUCCGUGCCAGCAGCCGCGGUAAUACGGAAGGUCCAAGCGUUAAUCGGAAUUACUGGGCGUAAAGCGCGCGUAGGUGGUUUUUUAAGUUGGAUGUGAAAGCCCUGGGCUCAACCUAGGAACUGCAUCCAAAACUAGAUGACUAGAGUACGAAAGAGGGAAGUAGAAUUCACAGUGUAGCGGUGGAAUGCGUAGAUAUUGUGAAGAAUACCAAUGGCGAAGGCAGCUUCCUGGUUCUGUACUGACACUGAGGUGCGAAAGCGUGGGUAGCGA
rnacentral:rRNA from 1 species